GCUUGGAGGAAGUGGAUGGCUGAAGGAACGAGCUGCCUAAGAGACCCACCCAAGGUCCCUGUUUCUGGAGAGGAAGAGACUGUAGCACGCUCCGCGAACUUGCGCGGCGCCGCGGUGACGCACUUCCGGCUAAGCCGUCGUUCGAACCUCAGUCAAGGCUGGCGUAACUUCCGGAGCAAACGGGUCCGAGACCGCGACCUUUGCCCUUCCCGGAGACAGGGGGCCUAUCCCCACCUCUCCCCGUCCCAGUAUUAGUUCCUUCCUUGGGCUUGAAUGAGUCCGACCCCAGGAAACCGAAAUAUCCCGAGGCCACCGCGAGACAGGAAGGAGUUGGCGACCAACGAGGAGAAAAGAGGGACUGCCCCAGAGGUUGCCGGGAUAUAUAGGGGAAACUGACUAGGAGAGGGGCCGAGAAGUAUCCUCUAGUUCCGCCUGGGCUGGCUCAGUGCACAGAGUUCUUGCUGUCCUCCAAGUGAAAAAGAUGGGAGACCAAGUGACCUCAGUCAUGUUAAUUACCGCCAGGCCUAAGGACCAUGUGAAGAGAAGCAAGACUGUUCUGGCGUUUCAGGAAUCAGUGACAUUCAAAGAUGUGGCUGUGUACUUCACCCAGGUGGAAUGGGGGCAGUUGGACUCUGUUCAAAAGGAUUUAUAUAGGGAUGUGAUGCUAGAGACUUACAGGAACCUGGUCUCCUUGGGUAAGAUGGUUUUGCCUUGUGUCUUUUCUCCCCCUAGGAUUUUGUUGUUUUUAUUUCCGUGUUCAUGGCUAUGGAGAAUUCUAAAGUAUGCUGAGCUGAGAUUUGGCUCAGAGUUUUGGUAUCAGAGCUGCCUAAUCACUUUUGAUUAUUUUAAUCUCUGAUACAUGGCAUUUUUUUCU
rnacentral:lncRNA from 1 species